rnacentral:rRNA from 1 species
GACGAACGCUGGCGGCGUGCUUAACACAUGCAAGUCGAACGGUAAGGCCCUACUUUGCUGGGGUACACGAGUGGCGAACGGGUGAGUAACACGUGGGUAACCUGCCCCGCACUUCGGGAUAAGCUGGGGAAACUGGGUCUAAUACCGGAUACGACCGCCCGCUGCGGGGGGGGUGUAAGGUUUUUCGGUGUGGGAUGGGCCCGCGGCCUAUCAGCUUGUUGGUGGGGUAGUGGCCUACUAAGGCGGCGACGGGUAGCCGGCCUGAGAGGGUGGACGGCCACAUUGGGACUGAGACACGGCCCAGACUCCUACGGGAGGCAGCAGUGGGGAAUAUUGCACAAUGGGCGGAAGCCUGAUGCAGCGACGCCGCGUGGGGGAGGACGGCCUUCGGGUUGUAAACUCCUUUCACCAUCGACGAAGGUUUUCUGACGGUAGAUGGAGAAGAAGCACCGGCUAACUACGU